UCGAGCGGCAGCGGGAGGGAAGCUUGCUUCCUCGCCGGCGAGCGGCGGACGGGUGAGUAAUGUCUGGGGAUCUGCCCGAUGGAGGGGGAUAACCACUGGAAACGGUGGCUAAUACCGCAUAACGUCGCAAGACCAAAGUGGGGGACCUUCGGGCCUCACACCAUCGGAUGAACCCAGAUGGGAUUAGCUAGUAGGUGGGGUAAUGGCUCACCUAGGCGACGAUCCCUAGCUGGUCUGAGAGGAUGACCAGCCACACUGGAACUGAGACACGGUCCAGACUCCUACGGGAGGCAGCAGUGGGGAAUAUUGCACAAUGGGCGCAAGCCUGAUGCAGCCAUGCCGCGUGUGUGAAGAAGGCCUUCGGGUUGUAAAGCACUUUCAGCGAGGAGGAAGGUGGUGAGCUUAAUACGUUCAUCAAUUGACGUUACUCGCAGAAGAAGCACCGGCUAACUCCGUGCCAGCAGCCGCGGUAAUACGGAGGGUGCAAGCGUUAAUCGGAAUUACUGGGCGUAAAGCGCACGCMGGCGGUUUGUUAAGUCAGAUGUGAAANUCCCCGAGCUUAACUUGGGAACUGCAUUUGAAACUGGCAAGCUAGAGUCUCGUAGAGGGGGGUAGAAUUCCAGGUGUAGCGGUGAAAUGCGUAGAGAUCUGGAGGAAUACCGGUGGCGAAGGCGGCCCCCUGGACGAAGACUGACGCUCAGGUGCGAAAGCGUGGGGAGCAAACAGGAUUAGAUACCCUGGUAGUCCACGCCGUAAACGAUGUCGAUUUGGAGGUUGUGCCCUUGAGGCGUGGCUUCCGGAGCUAACGCGUUAAAUCGACCGCCUGGGGAGUACGGCCGCAAGGUUAAAACUCAAAUGAAUUGACGGGGGCCCGCACAAGCGGUGGAGCAUGUGGUUUAAUUCGAUGCAACGCGAAGAACCUUACCUACUCUUGACAUCCAGAGAACUUUCCAGAGAUGGAUUGGUGCCUUCGGGAACUCUGAGACAGGUGCUGCAUGGCUGUCGUCAGCUCGUGUUGUGAAAUGUUGGGUUAAGUCCCGCAACGAGCGCAACCCUUAUCCUUUGUUGCCAGCGGUUCGGCCGGGAACUCAAAGGAGACUGCCAGUGAUAAACUGGAGGAAGGUGGGGAUGACGUCAAGUCAUCAUGGCCCUUACGAGUAGGGCUACACACGUGCUACAAUGGCGUAUACAAAGAGAAGCGAACCUGCGAAGGCAAGCGGACCUCAUAAAGUACGUCGUAGUCCGGAUUGGAGUCUGCAACUCGACUCCAUGAAGUCGGAAUCGCUAGUAAUCGUAGAUCAGAAUGCUACGGUGAAUACGUUCCCGGGCCUUGUACACACCGCCCGUCAGCACCAUGGGAGUGGGUUGCAAAAGAAGUAGGUAGCUUAACCUUCGGGAG
rnacentral:rRNA from 1 species